rnacentral:rRNA from 1 species
AGUGAACGCUGGCGGUAGGCCUAACACAUGCAAGUCGAACGGCAGCACAGUAAGAGCUUGCUCUUACGGGUGGCGAGUGGCGGACGGGUGAGGAAUACAUCGGAAUCUACUUUUUCGUGGGGGAUAACGUAGGGAAACUGACGCUAAUACCGCAUACGACCUACGGGUGAAAGCAGGGGAUAUUCGGACCUUGCGCGAUUGAAUGAGCCGAUGUCGGAUUAGCUAGUUGGCGGGGUAAAGGCCCACCAAGGCGACGAUCCGUAGCUGGUCUGAGAGGAUGAUCAGCCACACUGGAACUGAGACACGGUCCAGACUCCUACGGGAGGCAGCAGUGGGGAAUAUUGGACAAUGGGCGAAAGCCUGAUCCAGCCAUACCGCGUGGGUGAAGAAGGCCUUCGGGUUGUAAAGCCCUUUUGUUGGGAAAGAAAAGCAGCAGGUUAAUACCCCGCUGUUCUGACGGUACCCAAAGAAUAAGCACCGGCUAACUUCGUG